AAAAAUUACCUUUAUUUUCUUGAUUUGUCCAUGACUCGAAGAUAUUGAAAAAGAGAUUAAGUAAUAGGGGUUUACAUAAAUGAUUCAUUUAAAAUUUUUAAUGUCUGGUGAAAUUGUUCUGGAAUCACUUUGGGUUUAAAAAAAUUCUCUCUUUGUUCGCCUAUAAUUUUGGCAAAUUGAGGAAUUCUAAAAAAGAUUAGGUACCUUUAAAAUACAGUGAGUAAUGAAGCCACAUGAUCAAAAAUUACUAUGAUGAGACACCACGGAUUCUCUAAGGAGUUAUUAAUGUUUUUGAUAAGUUGAAUCCUCGGUAAUUAUUUGGAAAGUAUUUGAAAAAAAAAACAUUUUGAAAACCUUGUGACUUCCUAAACAACAAAGUCAAUAAAUUUGCCAAUAUUUCGUUACUUCUGAAAUUCUUCCAUGAAGAUUUAUUGACUUGAGUGAAAUUGAUCAUCCAUUUCAAGAUUGAACUUGAAAAAUGCUGAAAACUGUAUGAAAAUUUAUUCAAAAUGUGAGGAAAUGAAGAAAAGGAGGUAUACAUUUAAUGGUUUUAUAGGGGGAGACGGUCUUAUGUUAAUUUGCAACAACUUUUUCUUGAACCACUCUGUAAUCUGUGUACUUGAGAAACUUUUACAGGUCUAGAUCAGUGAUAUUGUUGAGUUUUGUUUGUGUCUUCGAUUUGUUGAUUUUUAUUACGGAGGAAAUAAGAGCAGCAGCUGGUUUUUCAUGUAGUAUUUUUGUUGUUUCUUCAAUUCAAUCUACGUUUACAUCACCCUGGGAAAGUUCUUCCAAGCAACACGAGAACAACUUCAUAAAAAGCCUGGUCCUGGAGUUGGAAAAUGAACAUUUCCCCGAAUGGCCCCUCCUAGAUCGGUUCAAUAUUCGUCCUUCGAAGACAACCUGUUGGAAAUUGGAAAUUCUCCACUAUAUUCCGGAGCGGUUCUGUUUCAAACUCCAGGAGGUCCAGAGAUCCAAGAAAUCAGCUCUCUGUUGCUCUUCUUCGUCGAGAAGGUGAAGAAGGAGUGCCAAUUUAAUUUGGAGCGUGCAUAAGUGCCAAUCACGUUGAUGGAAAUUCACUAGUGCUGCCCAAUUACGAAGAAAGAAACUGCGCACAAGAAGUCAGAAGUCAUUCAGUUAUAUAACCCUCCCUUCUAUUUUUGAUAUAAACAUGUAUAUUCAUUGAUAUUUAGGUGAAAAAUUCAUUUACGCUGCUAUUUUUUCACUUAUUCUAUGACAAAAACUGUAUAAUUUCACAAAAUAAAGAAAAAAAUUG